CUUAACUGCUGUCGAGGCAUGCAAGGAGGAUAAAGGCCAGAGUUAGGACAAGCAGGCGUGACAGAAAACAUGCUGGAAACCCUGAUUCCCAAGGGAGAGGGUCACCGUGUGAUGGUGGUGCUGGGACCACAUGCUGGAAAGGUGGGACUUCUUCUGAGUCGGGACAGCGUGCAGAGUCAAGCUUUGGUGCAACUUGGGAGAGAGAACCAGGUUGUAGAGCUCCACUAUGAUGCUAUCUGCCAGUACAUGGGUCCCAGUAACUCGGAUGAAGACUGACAUGUGGACCACUGUCAUCCCCCAGGCUGUCACUAGUUGUGUUGCAAUCUGCAAUGGAUGCCAUGGAGAAGAUAGGAGACAAUUGUUCUAUCCUCCUUUGAGGAGCAAGAACAGAGGUGUGAGUUGAUAGACCAGACUAUUUACCAAAAUUUAGAAUAUAAUAAAACCCAUUUUAAAAAGUGGGAAGAUGACAUCAAAACCAGUAUGUGAGCUGUGAAUUCAGGUGGGAACUGAGAUGACUGAGGUGGAGCUACUUCACUUCUUAGCCUCAUUUCCCUGCUCAGGGUGCAGGACAAGUUAAAUUACCUAUCCAAUACAGAGUUCCCUCUUGGAGCAUAGAAAUGAUGAGAUCUGCCGGGCGUUGGUGGCGCACGCCUUUAAUCCCAGCACUCGGGAGGCAGAGGCAGGCGGAUCUCUGUGAGUUCGAGACCAGCCUGGUCUACAGAGCUAGUUCCAGGACGGGCUCCAAAGCCGCAGAGAAACCCUGUCUCGA